rnacentral:rRNA from 1 species
GACUACAAGGGUAUCUAAUCCUGUUCGCUCCCCACGCUUUCGAGCCUCAACGUCAGUCACUGUCCAGUAAGCCGCCUUCGCCACCGGUGUUCCUCCUGAUAUCUACGCAUUUCACCGCUACACCAGGAAUUCCGCUUACCUCUCCAGCACUCCAGCCUCGCAGUUUCCAAAGCGGUUCCGCGGUUGAGCCACGGGCUUUCACUUCAGACUUGCGCCGCCGUCUACGCUCCCUUUACACCCAGUAAAUCCGGAUAACGCUCGCCCCCUACGUAUUACCGCGGCUGCUGGCACGUAGUUAGCCGGGGCUUCUUAGUCGGGUACCGUCCUCUUUCUUCCCCGCUGAUAGAGCUUUACAUACCGAGAUACUUCCUCACUCACGCGGCGUUGCUGCGUCAGGGUUUCCCCCAUUGCGCAAUAUUCCCCACUGCUGCCUCCCGUAGUC